AACGAACGCUGGCGGCAGGCUUAACACAUGCAAGUCGAACGCAUCCUUCGGGGUGAGUGGCAGACGGGUGAGUAACGCGUGGGAACGUGCCCUUCAGUUCGGGAUAACCCAGGGAAACUUGGGCUAAUACCGGAUACGUGCGAGAGCAGAAAGAUUUAUCGCUGAAGGAUCGGCCCGCGUCUGAUUAGCUAGUUGGUGGGGUAAUGGCCACCAAGGCGACGAUCAGUAGCCGGUCUGAGAGGAUGAUCAGCCACAUUGGGACUGAGACACGGCCCAAACUCCUACGGGAGGCAGCAGUGGGGAAUAUUGGACAAUGGGCGCAAGCCUGAUCCAGCCAUGCCGCGUGAGUGAUGAAGGCCUUAGGGUUGUAAAGCUCUUUCGUCCGGGACGAUAAUGACGGUACCGGAAGAAGAAGCCCCGGCUAACUUCGUGCCAGCCGCCGCCGUAAGAC
rnacentral:rRNA from 1 species